UACGUAGGGUGCAAGCGUUAAUCGGAAUUACUGGGUGUAAAGGGAGCGUAGGUGGUUCGGUAAGUCAGAUGUGAAAGCCCGGGGCUCAACCCCGGGACUGCAUUUGAAGCUAUCGAACUAGAGUGCAGGAGAGGUAAGUGGAAUUCCUAGUGUAGCGGUGAAAUGCGUAGAUAUUAGGAGGAACACCAGUGGCGAAGGCGGCUUACUGGACUGUAACUGACACUGAGGCUCGAAAGCUAGGGUAGCAAAUGGG
rnacentral:rRNA from 1 species